ACUUAAAUUGAAGAGUUUGAUCAUGGCUCAGAUUGAACGCUGGCGGCAGGCCUAACACAUGCAAGUCGAGCGGUAGCACAGAGAGCUUGCUCUCGGGUGACGAGCGGCGGACGGGUGAGUAAUGUCUGGGAAACUGCCUGAUGGAGGGGGAUAACUACUGGAAACGGUAGCUAAUACCGCAUAAUGUCGCAAGACCAAAGUGGGGGACCUUCGGGCCUCAUGCCAUCAGAUGUGCCCAGAUGGGAUUAGCUUGUAGGUGGGGUAACGGCUCACCUAGGCGACGAUCCCUAGCUGGUCUGAGAGGAUGACCAGCCACACUGGAACUGAGACACGGUCCAGACUCCUACGGGAGGCAGCAGUGGGGAAUAUUGCACAAUGGGCGCAAGCCUGAUGCAGCCAUGCCGCGUGUGUGAAGAAGGCCUUCGGGUUGUAAAGCACUUUCAGCGGGGAGGAAGGCGGUGAGGUUAAUAACCUCAUCGAUUGACGUUACCCGCAGAAGAAGCACCGGCUAACUCCGUGCCAGCAGCCGCGGUAAUACGGAGGGUGCAAGCGUUAAUCGGAAUUACUGGGCGUAAAGCGCACGCAGGCGGUCUGUCAAGUCGGAUGUGAAAUCCCCGGGCUUAACCUGGGAACUGCAUUCGAAACUGGCAGGCUAGAGUCUUGUAGAGGGGGGUAGAAUUCCAGGUGUAGCGGUGAAAUGCGUAGAGAUCUGGAGGAAUACCGGUGGCGAAGGCGGCCCCCUGGACAAAGACUGACGCUCAGGUGCGAAAGCGUGGGGAGCAAACAGGAUUAGAUACCCUGGUAGUCCACGCCGUAAACGAUGUCGAUUUGGAGGUUGUGCCCUUGAGGCGUGGCUUCCGGAGCUAACGCGUUAAAUCGACCGCCUGGGGAGUACGGCCGCAAGGUUAAAACUCAAAUGAAUUGACGGGGGCCCGCACAAGCGGUGGAGCAUGUGGUUUAAUUCGAUGCAACGCGAAGAACCUUACCUGGUCUUGACAUCCACAGAACUUUCCAGAGAUGGAUUGGUGCCUUCGGGAACUGUGAGACAGGUGCUGCAUGGCUGUCGUCAGCUCGUGUUGUGAAAUGUUGGGUUAAGUCCCGCAACGAGCGCAACCCUUAUCCUUUGUUGCCAGCGGUUCGGCCGGGAACUCAAAGGAGACUGCCAGUGAUAAACUGGAGGAAGGUGGGGAUGACGUCAAGUCAUCAUGGCCCUUACGACCAGGGCUACACACGUGCUACAAUGGCAUAUACAAAGAGAAGCGACCUCGCGAGAGCAAGCGGACCUCAUAAAGUAUGUCGUAGUCCGGAUUGGAGUCUGCAACUCGACUCCAUGAAGUCGGAAUCGCUAGUAAUCGUAGAUCAGAAUGCUACGGUGAAUACGUUCCCGGGCCUUGUACACACCGCCCGUCACACCAUGGGAGUGGGUUGCAAAAGAAGUAGGUAGCUUAACCUUCGGGAGGGCGCUUACCACUUUGUGAUUCAUGACUGGGGUGAAGUCGUAACAAGGUAACCGUAGGGGAACCUGCGGUUGGAUCACCUCCUUACCUUAAAGAA
rnacentral:rRNA from 1 species